rfam:Rattus norvegicus strain BN; Sprague-Dawley chromosome 3 CRA_213000034383536, whole genome shotgun sequence.
GCCGAGAAGCCCUGGAGGCCCAGUGAGCACGGGGAGGGGCUAGAGACUGGCUGGACAACCAUUAGAGAGCUGGGGCCGGGAGGCUAGGGGACUACAUUUCCCAGGACGCCAAGCGGUCGGGUCCGGAAACGACGGACUUUGGGCUAAGUGCGCAGGCGCACGCGCCGCCGUGGUCUAUAUAAAGAAGGU